CCUACGCGCUGCUGCAGUGAGGAAUAUUGGUCAAUGGGCGCGAGCCUGAACCAGCCAAGUAGCGUGAAGGAUGACUGCCCUACGGGUUGUAAAUUUCUUUUAUAAAGGAAUAAAGUGAGGCACGUGUGCCUUUUUGUAUGUACUUUAUGAAUAAGGAUCGGCUUACUCCGUGACAGCAGCCGCGGUAAUACGGAGGAUCCGAGCGUUGUCCGGAUUUAUUGGGGUUAAAGGGAGCGUAGAUGGGUUGUUAAGUCAGUUGUGAAAGUUUGCGGCUCAACAGUAAGAUUGCAAUUGAUACGGGCAGUCUUGAGUACAGUUGAGGUAGGCGGAAUUCGUGGUGUAGCGGUGAAAUGCUUAGAGAUCACGAAGAACUCCGAUUGCGAAGGCAGCUUAAGAAACUGCCACUGACAUUGAUGCUCGAAAGUGUGGGUAUCAAACAGGAUUAGAUACCCUAGUAGUC
rnacentral:rRNA from 1 species